ACUCCUACGGGAGCAGCAGUGGGGAAUAUUGCACAAUGGGCGCAAGCCUGAUGCAGCCAUGCCGCGUGUAUGAAGAAGGCCUUCGGGUUGUAAAGUACUUUCAGCAGUGAGGAAGGUGGAUAUGUUAAUAGCAUAUUCAUUUGACGUUAGCUGCAGAAGAAGCACCGGCUAACUCCGUGCCAGCAGCCGCGGUAAUACGGAGGGUGCGAGCGUUAAUCGGAAUUACUGGGCGUAAAGCGCAUGCAGGUGGUUUGUUAAGUCAGAUGUGAAAGCCCGGGGCUCAACCUCGGAAUUGCAUUUGAAACUGGCAAACUAGAGUACUGUAGAGGGGGGUAGAAUUUCAGGUGUAGCGGUGAAAUGCGUAGAGAUCUGAAGGAAUACCGGUGGCGAAGGCGGCCCCCUGGGACAGAUACUGACACUCAGAUGCGAAAGCGUGGGGAGCAAACAGGAUUAGAUACCCUGGUAGCGUAG
rnacentral:rRNA from 1 species